GAUGAAGAACGUAGCGAAAUGCGAUAAGUAAUGCGAAUUGCAGAAUUCAGUGAGUCAUCGAAUCUUUGAACGCACAUUGCGCCCUGUGGUAUUCCGCAGGGCAUGCCUGUUCGAGCGUCAUUUCAACCCUCAAGCCUCGCUUGGUGUUGGGCCCUGCCCGCCGCGGCCGGCCCUAAAGAUAGUGGCGGCGCCGCCUGGCCCUCAGCGUAGUACAGCUCUCGCUCCAGGGUCCGGCGGUAGCCUGCCAGAACCCCCAACUCUGUGGUUGACCUCGGAUCAGGUAGGGAUACCCGCUGAACUUAAGCAUAUCAAUAAGCGGAGGA
rnacentral:misc_RNA from 1 species